AGAGUUUGAUCCUGGCUCAGGACGAACGCUGGCGGCGUGCUUAACACAUGCAAGUCGAGCGGAAAGGCCCUUCGGGGUACUCGAGCGGCGAACGGGUGAGUAACACGUGAGCAACCUGCCCCUGGCUCUGGGAUAGCUCCGGGAAACCGGGAUUAAUACCGGAUAUGACUUCCUGCUGCAUGGGCGGGGGGUGGAAAGUU
rnacentral:rRNA from 1 species